CUCUCUUUGAUGUAGAGGUUAGGCUCUGUGUUUGCAGUCAAAAUGUAAUCUCCAACGUGGGUUGUUUUCAUUGUGUUAUUUAAAUAUAUGUAUUGUAACAGCUCAAAAUGUGUCUUUGAAUUUCUCGUCUCAUGAAAAGUAAACUCAUUACCAGAAGACAUGUUAAAAUGCAGACUUCUUAGAUAUUUUCUCAGCUGAAAUAGUUUACAAAGAAUACAACUUUAGUUUUGCAAACAACUACAAAGACAAAACACAAUAAGUCUGGCUUGACAAAC